GAUGAACGCUGGCGGCGUGCCUAACACAUGCAAGUCGAACGGACAGAGGAAGCACUUUCCUGUUUCACUUUAGCGGCGGGGAGGUGAGUAACAUGUGUAGGACGCACCUAUAUGACGGGGAAAACCUCGUGAAACCGGUAGUUAUUCCCGAUAAUUUUUUCAACCGCAUGGUUGAGUAGUUACAGACGGCUUUGCUUCCACUUAUAGCUGAUUCCGGACUGGUUUAGCUGGUUGGUCGGGUAACGGCUUACCAAGGCGACGACCCGUAGCCGAGCUGAGAGGAUGACCAGCCACACUGGAGCUGAGACACGGUCCAGACUCCUACGGGAGGCAGCAGUGGGGAAUAUUGCACAAUGGGCGAAAGCCUGAUGCAGCCAUGCCGCGUGUGUGAAGAAGGCCUUCGGAUUGUAAAGUUCUGUUAGCGGGGAGGAAGGGAGUAGAGAUAAUACGUGUGCUUAUUGACGUUACCUGCAGAAGAAGCACCGGCUAACUACGUG
rnacentral:rRNA from 1 species